rnacentral:lncRNA from 1 species
AUGCCUUGAUUGCUACAGAUACAGGCCAUGACCAGAAAAUUGUCUCUCCUCCCCAGUCCGUGAAAAAUAAUGGCUCAACUGACCCUAAAUCAGUAAAUCAAAAUUCUCAUGUUCCCUUGAAAGAAAAGGAGAGUAAGAAAAUGGUACCUGGGGUCCGGGGGAAACCUCAGGCAUGGCGGUUAGGUGAUGUUUCCCGCCCGCAAAGUCUUCCGAACCUUGUGAAGCAAAACUACCAGAAGAUGAGGUCUAGUAGGAGAGCAACCGCCACAUGGGCGAGGCAAAAUGUGGAACCUCAACCAUCUUCAUGCCCAAUAUGCUAUGAGGAUCUUGAUCCAACAGACUCGAGUUUUCUUCCGUGUCCUUGUGGGUUCCACCUUUGCCUUUUUUGUCACAAAAAAAUUAUGGAGGGUGAUGCAAGAUGCCCAGGAUGCAGGAAGCAGUAUGAACACGUCGAAGGGGAUUUAGGAUUCAGAGCAGAGGUGGAUUUAAACAAAGCCAGCUAUGGCAAUCUUCGUACAUGGAUAUUUUGAUUCUUUUUACUGGUAAAUGAACUCAUAAAUUGUAAAAGAAUUUACGUAGAUCUCUCUUCUCAUAAAAUGACAAUCACUUCGUGAUACACUCAAAUAUUACACCUGUUUAAAUACAUACAAAUCUUGUAACAAAUGGUAAACCAUCUUAUUCUGCAAGUCUCCUUCAAUAAACCAGAUCCGACGAAACUCAGUUUUCGAAUUCAGAACUAUUGUGCAUUGUAGCACAAUUAUUCACAAUCGACAGUCACUCUCUACGCAUCUAAUCACUAAUAUCGUCUCCUGCUCUAAAUUCAUGAUAGUAAAUAGAUAUUGUGUUUCUGCUCUAAAUUUAUGAGAGUAAUGUAUUGGAAUUUCAAAAUUCAUGACAGUAGAAGUACUAUCUUUAAACUAUCUCUGUGUUCAAAACAUAUUCAUAUUGGGGCCGUAGCAACUAGCAAGAGAUGGGUUAGAAGUUAUACUCUACCAUCUAUAAAUUAUUAAAAUAUUUAGACAAUAUAACUUAUAAGUGAUUAAAGUAGUCGGAUAAUAUGACUCAUAAAUUAUUCAAGUAUUUGGAUAAUAUUAAAUACUUUCUUUUUGGUAUAAACGAUAAUAAUAUAAAAAGUGUUAUUAAUACAUGAAAAUUAUUAAUAGAAGCCAUGGAAGAAAGAAAAAAGUCGAUAAAGUCCCCUGAUGAAGCUUUGGAAAAGAAAAAGUUAAAACUAGUAUAAAUUUGAGAAUUUAAAAUUAAAAUUAAAAUUCUCAUAAAUUUAUCAUUUAAAAUUAGAUGUACAUUUUCAAAUGACUUUCAGAAAUAUCAAAAUUCAAAAGACUCUUGGUAGCUGGAAAACAGAGUAUCAUGAUUCAUGAGUGUGUACUGAAGUUUAUAUGAUUUUGAAUCCAAUACUACUGUAAACUACUGUUCGUUUGUUUGGACCUCAUUUCAUUUUAUACAAUUAUAAUGGGAUCGUUUGGCUGAAUUUAAAAUAAGUGACUUAUUAUUUAAAAUAAAGAAGUUGAUUAGAGUGAGAAUUUGGUGUGAACCUAUAAGCUACUAGAAUUGUUUAGAUCCCAUGAUUUAUAAGUUUUUUAAGUGUUUGGAUAAUUUAACUUAUAAGUUGGUAUUAGUUUAAUAAUNACCCCUGCUUUGAUUUGCCUGGAAAUUUACAAGUGCAUUUGGAUUGUGAUGCAGUUAAAAAUAAAGAAUUGAAAGCAGAUUCAAAUGGGCGGGGCAUAUCUCCUACAUUGUUCUCCCUGGUCAGUGCUGAGGGGAACAAAUUAUCUGAGAAUUCAGAGUUGGGGACAAAGGAGGUGGAUAUUGAGGUGUCAAGCAUUCAUGAAAUCGAUUUGGACUCCCUGAUGAGCAGUCCAGUUGGCAGCAGUAAUCUUCCUGAUAGUAGCUGUAGCUGUGCCAGUAGCAGGUGUUGUUCUGUCAGCGUAAGCGAAAACGAAGAGGAGGAUAGUUGUUUGGAUGAUUGGGAGACUAUCGCCGAUGCCUUGAUUGCUACAGAUACAGGCCAUGACCAGAAAAUUGUCUCUCCUCCCCAGUCCGUGAAAAAUAAUGGCUCAACUGACCCUAAAUCAGUAAAUCAAAAUUCUCAUGUUCCCUUGAAAGAAAAGGAGAGUAAGAAAAUGGUACCUGGGGUCCGGGGGAAACCUCAGGCAUGGCGGUUAGGUGAUGUUUCCCGCCCGCAAAGUCUUCCGAACCUUGUGAAGCAAAACUACCAGAAGAUGAGGUCUAGUAGGAGAGCAACCGCCACAUGGGCGAGGCAAAAUGUGGAACCUCAACCAUCUUCAUGCCCAAUAUGCUAUGAGGAUCUUGAUCCAACAGACUCGAGUUUUCUUCCGUGUCCUUGUGGGUUCCACCUUUGCCUUUUUUGUCACAAAAAAAUUAUGGAGGGUGAUGCAAGAUGCCCAGGAUGCAGGAAGCAGUAUGAACACGUCGAAGGGGAUUUAGGAUUCAGAGCAGAGGUGGAUUUAAACAAAGCCAGCUAUGGCAAUCUUCGUACAUGGAUAUUUUGAUUCUUUUUACUGGUAAAUGAACUCAUAAAUUGUAAAAGAAUUUACGUAGAUCUCUCUUCUCAUAAAAUGACAAUCACUUCGUGAUACACUCAAAUAUUACACCUGUUUAAAUACAUACAAAUCUUGUAACAAAUGGUAAACCAUCUUAUUCUGCAAGUCUCCUUCAAUAAACCAGAUCCGACGAAACUCAGUUUUCGAAUUCAGAACUAUUGUGCAUUGUAGCACAAUUAUUCACAAUCGACAGUCACUCUCUACGCAUCUAAUCACUAAUAUCGUCUCCUGCUCUAAAUUCAUGAUAGUAAAU